GAUGAGUUGUGUUUAGGGGUGAAAGGCCAAUCAAACCGGGAAAUAGCUGGUUCUCCGCGAAAUCUAUUUAGGUAGAGCGUCGACCGAAUACCCCAGGGGGUAGAGCACUGGAUGGGCUAGGGGGAUUUACCAUCUUACCAAACCUAACCAAACUCCGAAUACCCAAGAGUACUAUCCGGGAGACAGACGGCGGGUGCUAAGGUCCGUCGUCAAAAGGGAAACAGCCCUGACCUACAGCUAAGGUCCCCAAGUCAUCACUAAGUGGGAAAGCAUGUGGAACUUCCAAAACAACCAGGAGGUUGGCUUAGAAGCAGCCACCCUUGAAAGAGUGCGUAAUAGCUCACUGGUCAAGUGAUUGUGCGCCGAUAAUGUAGCGGGGCUCAAGCACACCGCCGAAGUCGCGGCAACGAGUACACCUUCGGGUGUGACGUUGGGUAGGGGAGCGUCCUGCACGCCGGUGAAGCCACCUAGUGAUGGUGUGGUGGAGGGUGUGGGAGUGAGAAUGCAGGCAUGAGUAGCGAUAAGGCAAGUGAGAACCUUGCCCGCCGAAAGACCAAGGGUUCCUGGGCCAGGCCAGUCCGCCCAGGGUGAGUCGGGACCUAAGGCGAGGCCGACAGGCGUAGUCGAUGGACAACGGGUUGAUAUUCCCGUACCCGUGUGUGCGCGCCCGUGAUGAAUCAGCGGUACUAACCGCCCAAAACUUCGAUCACCGAUCACCUUCGGGUGUGAGGGUUCGCAGGGCUGCGCGGGACCUUCGCUGGUAGUAGUCAAGCGACGGGGUGACGCAGGAAGGUAGCCAUACCAGUCAGUGGUAAUACUGGGGCAAGCCCGUAGGGAGAACGAUAGGCAAAUCCGUCGUUCACAUAUCCUGAGAGGUGAUGCAUAGCCGAGUGAGGCGAAUUUGGUGAUCCUAUGCUGCCGAGAAAAGCCUCUAGCGAGCACACACACGGCCCGUACCCCAAACCGACACAGGUGGUCAGGUAGAGAAUACCAAGGCGUACGAGUGAACUAUGGUUAAGGAACUCGGCAAAAUACCCCCGUAACUUCGGGAGAAGGGGGACCCCUUACUGUCAUGGCACGUGCUGCCGGCAGCGGUGGGGGGUCGCAGAAACCAGUGAGAAGCGACUGUUUACUAAAAACACAGGUCCGUGCGAAGUCGCAAGACGAUGUAUACGGACUGACGCCUGCCCGGUGCUGGAAGGUUAAGAGGACCGGUUAACCCCCUUGGGGGUGAAGCUGAGAAUUUAAGCCCCAGUAAACGGCGGUGGUAACUAUAACCAUCCUAAGGUAGCGAAAUUCCUUGUCGGGUAAGUUCCG
rnacentral:rRNA from 1 species